rnacentral:rRNA from 1 species
CCAGUCGGCCUUUGCUCUUUGAGUGAUUGCGCUGUACUGGUCUGCCAUGUUUGGGUGGAAUCUGUGUGGCAUUAAGUUGUCGUGCAGGGGAUGCCCAUCGUUUACUGUGAAAAAAUUAGAGUGUUCAAAGCAGGCUUAUGCCGUUGAAUAUAUUAGCAUGGAAUAAUGAUAUAGGACCUUGGUACUAUUUUGUUGGUUUGCGCACUAAGGUAAUGAUUAAGAGGGACAGUUGGGGGUAUUUGUAUUCCAUUGUCAGAGGUGAAAUUCUUGGAUUUUUGGAAGACAAACUACUGCGAA